rnacentral:rRNA from 1 species
UACGUAGGUGGCGAGCGUUAUCCGGAUUUACUGGGUGUAAAGGGCGUGUAGGCGGUCUUGUAAGUCAAAUGUGAAAUCUCCCGGCUCAACUGGGAGUGUGCAUCUGAAACUAUGGGACUUGAGUACUGGAGGGGAAAGCGGAAUUCCUAGUGUAGCGGUAAAAUGCGUAGAGAUUAGGAGGAACACCGGUGGCGAAGGCGGCUUUCUGGACAGUAACUGACGCUGAGGCGCGAAAGCGUGGGGAGAAAACAGG